ACCAGCGUGGCGUAGUGGUUUGAGUGUUGGACUAUGGCUCUGGAGACUGGGAUUCGAUUCCCAGCUCAGCCA